rnacentral:rRNA from 1 species
AGGAUAAACGCUGGCGGCGUGCCUAAUGCAUGCAAGUCGAGCGGGAGCCCUUUCGGGGGUCGACCGUGGCGGACGGGUGAGGAACACGUAGCUAACCUGCCCAGGUAUGGGGGAUAUGCGCUGGAAACGGCGUGCAAUACCGCAUACGUUCGGGUGUCGGGAGACGCUUGAGGAAAGCCGAGUAAUCGGUGUACCUGGAGGGGCUGCGUCCGAGUUAGCUAGUUGGAGUGGUAAGAGCACCCCAAGGCGAUGAUCGGUAGCUGGUCUGAGAGGACGAUCGGCCACACGGGGACUGAGACCACGGCCCCGACUCCUACGGGAGCCAGCAGCAAGGAUUUCCACAAUGGGCGCAAGGCCUGAUGGAGCAACGCCGCGUGGGAUGACGCGUUUCGGCGUGUAACCCGUUUCGAGGGUACAAGGCCAAGUGACGGUACCU